rnacentral:rRNA from 1 species
UACGUAGGGGGCAAGCGUUGUCCGGAUUUACUGGGCGUAAAGAGCGCGCAGGCGGUCGGAUAAGUCGAAUGUGAAAGCCCCCGGCUCAACUGGGGAGGGUCACUCGAUACUGAUCGACUUGAAGGCAGGAGAGGGAAGCGGAAUUCCCGGUGUAGUGGUGAAAUGCGUAGAUAUCGGGAGGAACACCAGUGGCGAAGGCGGCUUCCUGGCCUGUUCUUGACGCUGAGGCGCGAAAGCUAGGGGAGCAAACGGG